UACGAAGGGGGCUAGCGUUGCUCGGAAUUACUGGGCGUAAAGCGCACGUAGGCGGAUUGUUAAGUCGGGGGUGAAAUCCUGGAGCUCAACUCCAGAACUGCCUUCGAUACUGGCGAUCUCGAGUCCGGGAGAGGUGAGUGGAACUGCGAGUGUAGAGGUGAAAUGCGCAGAUAUCAAGAGGAACACCUGCGGCGAAGGCGGGUUGCUGGGCCGACACUGACGCUGAGUGCGCGAAAGCCAGGGGAGCGAACGGG
rnacentral:rRNA from 1 species